rnacentral:rRNA from 1 species
AGAGUUUGAUCAUGGCUCAGGACGAACGCUGGCGGCGUGCCUAACACAUGCAAGUCGAGCGAAGUGACUCGGAGAGAAGUUUUCGGAUGGAUCGAAGAGUCAUCUUAGCGGCGGACGGGUGAGUAACGCGUGAGAAACCUGCCUUUCACAAAGGGAUAGCCUCGGGAAACUGGGAUUAAUACCUUAUGAAACUGAAUUACCGCAUGGUAGAUCAGUCAAAGCGAAUAAGCGGUGAAAGAUGGUCUCGCGUCCUAUUAGCUAGUUGGUGAGGUAACGGCUCACCAAGGCUUCGAUAGGUAGCCGGCCUGAGAGGGUGAACGGCCACACUGGAACUGAGACACGGUCCAGACUCCUACGGGAGGCAGCAGUGGGGAAUAUUGCACAAUGGAGGAAACUCUGAUGCAGCGACGCCGCGUGAAUGAUGAAGGCCUUCGGGUUGUAAAGUUCUGUCCUUGGGGAAGAUAAUGACGGUACCCAAGGAGGAAGCCCCGGCUAACUACGUGCCAGCAGCCGCGGUAAUACGUAGGGGGCGAGCGUUGUCCGGAAUUAUUGGGCGUAAAGGGUUCGCAGGCGGUCUGAUAAGUCAGAUGUGAAAGGCGUAGGCUCAACCUACGUAAGCAUUUGAAACUGUCAGACUUGAGUUAAGGAGAGGAAAGUGGAAUUCCUAGUGUAGCGGUGAAAUGCGUAGAUAUUAGGAGGAAUACCAGUGGCGAAGGCGACUUUCUGGACUUAUACUGACGCUGAGGAACGAAAGCGUGGGGAGCAAACAGGAUUAGAUACCCUGGUAGUCCACGCCGUAAACGAUGAGUGCUAGGUGUUGGGGGUCAAACCUCGGUGCCGCAGCUAACGCAUUAAGCACUCCGCCUGGGGAGUACGUACGCAAGUAUGAAACUCAAAGGAAUUGACGG